rnacentral:rRNA from 1 species
GACGAACCGUGCGAACGUUGUUCGGAAUCACUGGGCUUAAAGGCGCGUAGGCGGGCUGUCAAGUCGGUGGUGAAAUCUUCGGCUCAACCGGAAAUCGCCUCCGAUACUGGCGGCCUUGAGGGGUAGGGCAUGCGGAACUUCCGGUGGAGCGGUGAAUGCGUAGAUAUCGGAAGGAACACCGAUGGCGAAGCAGCGUGCUGGACCUUCUGACGCUGAGGCGCGAAGCCAGGAGCAACGGAUAGA